AUGGCUUUUCUAGGUUCAUCCACUACCCUCGCUCUCAAGGCAGCCUUCGUCGCCGCCAUGCUCGCAGUCCUGGUACUGCCUUCCAUGGGGCGCUGCCCGUCGCUUGGGCCAGAGGUAGCCCCCACGCCUGCGCCGACACCGGUGAUACCGUGCAGCGACUGUGACGAAUGGGCAGCGCCCACGCCUGCACCGACACCGGCGAUACAGUGCAGCGACUGUGACGAAUGGGCAGCGCCCACGCCUGCGCCGACGCCAGCGAUACUGUGCAGCGACUGUGACAAACGCUGCUUUGACGCGUGCUAUGCCAAGGUCAAGGUUAUGUGCAAGUGCUACGGAUGUAGCGGCUGUUGGAACGGAUACAUGCCCAAGUGCGUCAAACCCUGCGAGAGUGACUGCCGCGUCGCCGGCUGCGUCAGCGGCUAA
rnacentral:rRNA from 1 species